rnacentral:rRNA from 1 species
GGUCUCCGUAGGUGAACCUGCGGAGGGAUCAUUACACAAAAAAUAUGAAGGCUGCACGCGGCUGUGCCUCUCGGGGCCAGCUUAGCGGAGGCUGAAUUAUUUUUCACCCAUGUCUUUUGCGCACUUGUUGUUUCCUGGGCGGGUUCGCCCGCCACCAGGACCACACCAUAAACCUUUUUUUUAUGCAGUUGCAAUCAGCGUCAGUAUAACAAAUGUAAAUCAUUUACAACUUUCAACAACGGAUCUCUUGGUUCUGGCAUCGAUGAAGAACGCAGCGAAAUGCGAUACGUAGUGUGAAUUGCAGAAUUCAGUGAAUCAUCGAAUCUUUGAACGCACAUUGCGCCCUUUGGUAUUCCAAAGGGCAUGCCUGUUCGAGCGUCAUUUGUACCCUCAAGCUUUGCUUGGUGUUGGGCGUUUUUGUCUUUGGCCUUGCCCAAAGACUCGCCUUAAAACGAUUGGCAGCCGGCCUACUGGUUUCGGAGCGCAGCACAUUUUUGCGCUUGCAACCAGCAAAAGAGGCCAGCAAUCCAUCAAGACUUCUUCUCACUUUUGACCUCGGAUCAGGUAGGGAUACCCGCUGAACUUAAGCAU